rnacentral:lncRNA from 1 species
UCCAACUGUCAUUGUACUUAAAUAAGAUAAAAAUGAGGCCUUAAAUUUUUUUGUGGUUCAAGUAAAGAACCAUCUCCUUGGAUGAUAUACCCCUCAUAAUUGUAUAUUUUCAUAUAGCACAAGGAGUCGGUUAAAAGUUAAUACAUAUAAAAUAUUGUCAAGCAAUAGUCGGAGAGAUAUGUGACUGUUUCAAGGAUAUGAAUGUGCUUCAAAG